rnacentral:rRNA from 1 species
UACGUAGGUGGCGAGCGUUGUCCGGAUUUACUGGGCGUAAAGAGCGCGCAGGCGGCUGGUCAAGUCCGAUGUGAAAGCUCCCGGCUUAACUGGGAAAUUGCAUCGGAAACUGAUCGGCUGGAAGGUGGGAGAGGGUAGCGGAAUUCCCGGUGUAGUGGUGAAAUGCGUAGAUAUCGGGAGGAACACCAGUGGCGAAGGCGGCUACCUGGCCCAUUCUUGACGCUGAGGCGGCGAAAAGCCUG